GUCCGGUGAAGUUUUCGGAUCGCGGCGACGCCGGCGGUUCGCCGCCGGUGACGUUGUGAGAAGUUCAUURAACCUUAUCAUUUAGAGGAAGGAGAAGUCGUAACAAGGUUUCCGUAG
rnacentral:rRNA from 1 species